rfam:Lobosporangium transversale strain NRRL 3116 BCR41scaffold_38, whole genome shotgun sequence.
AAUGCUGUUGCAACAGUAAUUGAACUUUGCACGAGAGGAACCGUCCAUUCGGAUAAUUGGUAUUUGGGCCUGCCUGAACAGGCAAUGGCCCGAAGCUAUCACCCGUUGGAUUAUGGCUGAACGCCUCUAAGUCAGAAUCCGCGCUAGAACGCGGCGAUUACCGCCUUCUCCGAUAAUUAGUUGAAUACGAAUAGAGCUUCGGUUCCUGAAUCAUGGUCUUGUGUGGUACCUGCUAAUAUUAAUUUCAAAUAUUGGAGAUAAAUGCAUUGUAGACGACUUUAAUUGAACGGGGUAUUGUAAGCUGUAGAGUGGCCUUGUUGCUACGAUCAGCUGAGAUUAAGCCCACUAUUU